rnacentral:rRNA from 1 species
GUGGGGAAUAUUGGGCAAUGGGCGAAAGCCUGACCCAGCAACGCCGCGUGAAGGAAGAAGGUUUUCGGAUCGUAAACUUCUAUCCUUGGUGAAGAUAAUGACGGUAGCCAAGAAGGAAGCCCCGGCUAACUACGUGCCAGCAGCCGCGGUAAUACGUAGGGGGCAAGCGUUGUCCGGAAUGAUUGGGCGUAAAGGGCGCGUAGGCGGCCUGGUAAGUCUGGAGUGAAAGUCCUGCUUUUAAGGUGGGAAUUGCUUUGGAUACUGUCGGGCGUGAGUGCAGGAGGGGUAAGUGGAAGUCCCGGUGUAGCGGUGAAAUGCGUAGAGAUCGGGAGGAACACCAGUGGCGAAGGCGACUUACUGGACUGUAACUGACGCUGAGGCGCGAAAGUGUGGGGAGCAAACAGGAUUAGAAACCCUAGUAGUCC